ACGGGUGAGUAACGCGUGGGUGACCUACCCUGGAAUUUGGGAUAACACUGCGAAAGUGGUGCUAAUACCGGAUACGAUCCUUCAGCGAUGGAGGGUGAAAGUCGGCCUCUCGAAGAAGCUGAUGUUCUGGGAUGGGCUCGCGUCCUAUCAGCUAGUUGGUAGGGUAAUGGCCUACCAAGGCGACGACGGGUAGCUGGUCUGAGAGGAUGAUCAGCCACACUGGCACUGGAACACGGGCCAGACUCCUACGGGAGGCAGCAGUGAGGAAUUUUGCGCAAUGGGGGAAACCCUGACGCAGCAACGCCGCGUGGGUGAAGAAGGCCUUCGGGUCGUAAAGCCCUGUCAGGUGGGAAGAAUGCCUUGGGGGUGAAUAAUCUUCGAGGGUGACGGUACCACCAGAGGAAGCACCGGCUAACUCCGUGCCAGCAGCCGCGGUAAUACGGAGGGUGCGAGCGUUGUUCGGAAUCAUUGGGCGUAAAGGGCGUGCAGGCGGUUGGGUAAGUCUGAUGUGAAAGCCCGGGGCUCAACCCCGGAAGUGCAUUGGAAACUGUCCGACUUGAGUACCGGAGAGGAUGGGGGAAUUCCC
rnacentral:rRNA from 1 species